CCCUUAGACGUUCUGGGCCGCACGCGCGCUACACUGACGAAGGCAACGAGCUUUCCUUUACCGAAAGGUACGGGUAAUCUUUUGAAACUUCGUCGUGCUGGGGAUAGAUCCUUGCAAUUUUUGAUCUUAAACGAGGAAUUCCUAGUAAGCGCAAGCCAUCAACUUGCGUUGAUUACGUCCCUGCCCUUUGUACACACCGCCCGUCGCUACUACCGAUUGAAUGGUUUAGUGAGGCCUUCGGAUCCGCGACUCGUUUUGUGGAGAAGUUGGACAAACUCAGUCAUUUAGAGGAAGUAAAAGUCGUAACA
rnacentral:rRNA from 1 species